UACGUAGGGUGCGAGCGUUGUCCGGAAUUAUUGGGCGUAAAGGGCUCGUAGGCGGUUCGUCACGUCGGGAGUGAAAACUCGGGGCUUAACCCCGAGCCUGCUUCCGAUACGGGCAGACUAGAGGUAGGCAGGGGAGAGCGGAACUCCUGGUGUAGCGGUGGAAUGCGCAGAUAUCAGGAAGAACACCGGUGGCGAAGGCGGAUCUCUGGGCCUUACCUGACGCUCAGGUGCGAAAGCUAGGGGAGCGAACAGG
rnacentral:rRNA from 1 species